GCCUACAGCCAUGACACCCCCAGGAACGAUCUCAUUAGGUCUCCCAGCUUGAGCAGAGUCAGCCUGGUUAGUACUUGGAUGGAAGAACUUCUAAGAAAACCCUGACAGGGAGUUGUAGGUA
ensembl:rRNA 5S_rRNA 5S ribosomal RNA